rnacentral:rRNA from 1 species
UACGUAGGGACCAAGCGUUGUUCGGAUUUACUGGGCGUAAAGGGCGCGUAGGCGGCAAUCAAGUCAUCUGUGAAAUCUCCGGGCUUAACUCGGAACGGUCAGGUGAUACUGCUUUGCUAGAGUGCAGAAGGGGCAAUCGGAAUUCUUGGUGUAGCGGUGAAAUGCGUAGAUAUCAAGAGGAACACCUGAGGUGAAGACGGGUUGCUGGGGCUGACACGUGACGCUGAGGCGCGAAAGCGUGGGGGAGCGAAACAGGA